AAACGGUGCCAUCUGAUGAUCCGUGGGGUCUCCUUUUGUGAGCCCACGGGCAAUCUCCGGGAAACCUGUAAGUCUAUGGGUUCCGGGGAAAGUAUGGUUGCAAAGCUGAAACUUAAAGGAAUUGACGGAAGGGCACCACCAGGAGUGGAGCUUGCGGCUUAAUUUGACUCAACACGGGAAAACUCACCCGGACCGGACACUAUGAGGAUAGACAGAUUGAUAGCUCUUUCUUGAUUUGGUGGAUAGUGGUGCAUGGCCGUUCUUAGUUCGUGGUAUGAAUUGUCUGGUUAAUUCCGAUAACGAACGAGAUUCUAACCUGCUAAAUAGGCCGCGUGUAAUUCUGUGUGGAUUUUCUGUGGAUUAACUUCGGUUUUUUCGCGGAGGUCUGUACGAGCAUGUGGAACUUCUUAGAGGGAUUGGUGAAUAUCCAAGUCACAAGAGAGAGAGCAAUAACAGGUCUGUGAUGCCCUUAGAUGUUCGGGGCCGCACGCGUGCUACACUGACAGUGGUAGAGAGUUUGGUAUCCUCAGGCGAAAGCUGGGGGCAAACUUUUCAAUUACUGUCGUGCCUGGGAUCGGGGUUUGUAACUAUCCCCCGUGAACCAGGAAUUCCUAGUAAGCACAAUUCAUCAGAUUGUGCUGAAUACGUCCCUGCCCUUUGUACACACCGCCCGUCGCUACUACCGAUUGAAUGGUUUAGCAAGGUCAAUGGAUCGGCUGCAGUUCGGUGAAAACUGAUUGCGGCUGGGAAGCUGGCCGAACUUGAUCAUUUAGAGGAA
rnacentral:rRNA from 1 species